CUUGCCCGUAUGUGUGUUGCAGGUUGUGCUGUGUUCUUGUCAUCAGGUGGCAGAGAGAAUCUGGCUACGUCUAAGCUCGGUGUUCUUUGGCCUGAGUGUCCAGAAUGAUUUGUAGCCUAACAAG